rnacentral:rRNA from 1 species
GUGCCAGCAGCCGCGGUAAGACGAGGGGUCCAAGCGUUGUUCGGAAUUAUUGGGCGUAAAGCGGGUGUAGGUGGCUCUAUAAGUCAGAAGUGAAAGCCCCGAGCUUAACUUGGGAAGUGCUUUUGAUACUGUAGAGCUUGAAUGUGGGAGAGGAUCGUGGAAUUCCAGGUGUAGUGGUGAAAUACGUAGAUAUCUGGAGGAACACCGGUGGCGAAGGCGGCGAUCUGGCCCAACAUUGACACUGAGACCCGAAAGCGUGGGGAUCAAACAGGAUUAGAAACCCGGGUAGUCC